rnacentral:rRNA from 1 species
GAUGAACGCUAGCGGCAGGCCUAAUACAUGCAAGUCGAGGGGUAGUGGAAGCUUGCUUCCAUGAGACCGGCGCACGGGUGCGUAACGCGUAUGCAACCUACCUCUAUCUGGGGGAUAGCCCGGAGAAAUCCGGAUUAACACCGCAUAAAAUCACAGUACGGCAUCGUACAAUGAUCAAAUAUUUAUAGGAUAGGGAUGGGCAUGCGUGUCAUUAGUUAGUUGGCGGGGUAACGGCCCACCAAGACCACGAUGACUAGGGGAUCUGAGAGGAUGGCCCCCCACACUGGUACUGAGACACGGACCAGACUCCUACGGGAGGCAGCAGUAAGGAAUAUUGGUCAAUGGAGGCAACUCUGAACCAGCCAUGCCGCGUGCAGGAAGACGGCCCUCUGGGUUGUAAAGCUCUUUUUGUACGGGAACGAAAACGGGUUUCUUUUUUAAUAAAGAGAGCUAAUGACGGUACCGUAAGAAUAAGCACCGGCUAACUACGUGCCAGCAGCCGCGGUAAU